CAGGGAGACAACAAAAUGUUUAAUAUUAUUAUUUUGUCACCUUAGGUCGAUCGGUAUCUCACAUUCUUGAUUUAUUAAGGAUUUUAUUUCCUAAGUUUUUUCUAGGUCACACCCAUUACUUUUCCUGGGCCAUUAGCUCAGGUGGUUAGAGCGCACCCCUGAUAAGGGUGAGGUCCCUGGUUCAAGUCCAGGAUGGCCCAUAUCUCUAUGUUGGGGGUAUAGCUCAGUUGGUAGAGCGCCUGCUUUGCAAGCAGGAUGUCAGCGGUUCGAGUCCGCUUACCUCCACUGAUUACCACCUCUUCCAUAAUUUUCAUUAAGGAAAUGUUUUGAGUAGUGAUCAAAUUCUGAACGAAUCUAGCUUCCUAAUGAAAUCAUUAAGAUGCUGGACUCAUUGAAUUAAAUUCAUUGUUUUCAGAGAACCUUGACAACUGCAUAGAUUAUUUUUAAAGACAAUAAGCAUCUUUAUGAUGCAGAUUUAUUAUUUGUGCAAAUGCAUUAAUAACAAUUCUAUUAAGCUGAUGCUUCAAUUAUGAAGUUAUU
rnacentral:tRNA from 1 species